GACGGAGGAGGCAAGCGUUAUCCGGAAUUAUUGGGCGUAAAGCGUCCGCAGGUGGCGAUUCAAGUCUGCUGUCAAAGGUCGGGGCUUAACCCCGGGAAGGCAGUGGAAACUGAAUAGCUAGAGUGCGGUAGGGGCAGAGGGAAUUCCCGGUGUAGCGGUGAAAUGCGUAGAGAUCGGGAAGAACACCAGUGGCGAAAGCGCUCUGCUGGGCCUGCACUGACACUGAGGGACGAAAGCUAGGGGAGCGAAAGGG
rnacentral:rRNA from 1 species